UACGGAGGGGGCUAGCGUUGUUCGGAAUUACUGGGCGUAAAGCGCGCGUAGGCGGACCUGCAGGUCGGGGGUGAAAGCCCGAGGCUCAACCUCGGAACUGCCUUCGAUACUGCGGGUCUCGAGUCCGGGAGAGGUGAGUGGAAUUCCUAGUGUAGAGGUGAAAUUCGUAGAUAUUAGGAAGAACACCAGUGGCGAAGGCGGCUCACUGGCUCGGUACUGACGCUGAGGCGCGAAAGCGUGGGGAGCAAACAGG
rnacentral:rRNA from 1 species